UGCUUUCGUGUGUUUUUCAUUUAACUCAUGGACAAACUUAUAAACAGGUGCAAAUAUUAAACCUUUUUUUUGCAAUCUAAAACUCAUUGUUCAGUAUGAGUCUUGUUACAUAUAAGAAAGAAUAUU
ensembl:snoRNA